AGUGAACGCUGGCGGUAGGCCUAACACAUGCAAGUCGAACGGCAGCACAGGAGAGCUUGCUCUCUGGGUGGCGAGUGGCGGACGGGUGAGGAAUACAUCGGAAUCUACUCUGUCGUGGGGGAUAACGUAGGGAAACUUACGCUAAUACCCCAUAAGACCUACGGGUGAAAGCAGGGGAUCUUCGGACCUUGCGCGAUUGAAUGAGCUGAGGUAGGAUUAGCUAGUUGGCGGGGUAAAGGCCCACCAAGGCGACGAUCCGUAGCUGGUCUGAGAGGAUGAUCAGUCACACUGGAACUGAGACACGGUCCAGACUCCUACGGGAGGCAGCAGUGGGGAAUAUUGGACAAUGGGCGCAAGCCUGAUCCAGCCAUACCGCGUGGGUGAAGAAGGCCUUCGGGUUGUAAAGCCCUUUUGUUGGGAAAGAAAUCCAGCUGGCUAAUACCCGGUUGGGAUGACGGUACCCAAAGAAUAAGCACCGGCUAACUUCGUGCCAGCCGCCGCAGUAA
rnacentral:rRNA from 1 species